CCUACGGGAGGCAGCAGUGGGGAAUAUUGGGCAAUGGGCGAAAGCCUGAUCCAGCAACGCCGCGUGAAGGAAGAAGGAUUUCGGGUUGUAAACCUCUUUCGACAGGGAAGAGCAGAAGACGGUACCCGUCGAAAAAGCCACGGCUAACUACGUGCCAGCAGGCGCGGUAAUACGUAGGUGGCAAGCGUUGUCCGGAUUUACUGGGUGUAAAGGGCGUGUAGGCGGGCGGACAAGUCAGAUGUGAAAUCCGGGGGCUCAACCCCCGAACUGCAUUUGAAACUGUUGGUCUUGAGUGUCGGAGAGGCAAGCGGAAUUCCUAGUGUAGCGGUGAAAUGCGUAGAUAUUAGGAGGAACACCAGUGGCGAAGGCGGCCUACUGGACGACAACUGACGGUGAGGCGCGAAAGCGUGGGGAGCAAACAGGAUUAGAUACCCUAGUAGUC
rnacentral:rRNA from 1 species